rnacentral:rRNA from 1 species
CCUACGGGAGGCAGCAGUGAGGAAUAUUGGUCAAUGGCCGUAAGGCUGAACCAGCCAAGUCGCGUGAAGGAUGACGGACCUAUGGUUUGUAAACUUCUUUUAUAGGGGAAUAAAGGUAUCCACGUGUGGAUAUUUGCAUGUACCCUAUGAAUAAGCAUCGGCUAACUCCGUGCCAGCAGCCGCGGUAAUACGGAGGAUGCGAGCGUUAUCCGGAUUUAUUGGGUUUAAAGGGUGCGUAGGUUGGUUUUUAAGUCAGCGGUGAAAGUUUGUGGCUCAACCAUAAAAUUGCCGUUGAAACUGGAAGUCUUGAGUGUGUUUGAGGUAGGCGGAAUGCGUGGUGUAGCGGUGAAAUGCAUAGAUAUCACGCAGAACUCCGAUUGCGAAGGCAGCUUACUAGGCCCUAACUGACACUGAUGCACGAAAGCGUGGGUAUCAAACAGGAUUAGAUACCCUGGUAGUC